GACGAACCGUGCGAACGUUGUUCGGAUUCAUUGGGCGUAAAGGGUGCGUAGGCGGCGCGGUAAGUCGGGUGUGAAAUCUUGGAGCUUAACUCCGAAACUGCAUUCGAUACUGCCGUGCUUGAGGACUGGAGAGGAGACUGGAAUUUACGGUGUAGCGGUGAAAUGCGUAGAUAUCGUAAGGAAGACCAGUGGCGAAGGCGGGUCUCUGGACAGUUCCUGACGCUGAGGCACGAAGGUCAGGGGAGCAAACGGG
rnacentral:rRNA from 1 species